ACGAAAGCUUGCUUUUGUUGAUGGCGACCGGCGCACGGGUGAGUAACGCGUAUCCAACCUUCCCUAUAGUAGAGGAUAGCCCGGCGAAAGUCGGAUUAAUACUCUAUAUUAUUCAACGAGGACAUCUGAAAUGAAUCAAAGGUUUACCGCUAUAGGAUGGGGAUGCGUCUGAUUAGGUUGUUGGCGGGGUAACGGCCCACCAAGCCCACGAUCAGUAGGGGUUCUGAGAGGAAGGUCCCCCACAUUGGAACUGAGACACGGUCCAAACUCCUACGGGAGGCAGCAGUGAGGAAUAUUGGUCAAUGGACAUAAGUCUGAACCAGCCAAGUAGCGUGCAGGAUGACGGCCCUAUGGGUUGUAAACUGCUUUUAUACAGGGAUAAAGUGAGCCACGUGUGGCUUUUUGUAUGUACUGUAUGAAUAAAGGACCGGCUAAUUCCGUGCCAGCAGCCGCGGUAAUACGGAAGGUCCCGGGCGUUAUCCCGGAUUUUAUUGGGUUUAAAGGGAGCGCAGCUGAUGAUUAAGCGUGACGUGAAAUGUAGCGCUCACGGCUGAACUGCCGUCGCGACUGCUUAUCUUGGAGUGGAGUUCGAUUGUUGCGAAUUCCUUGGUUGUUAACCGGUGGUAAAUGGCGCUCUUGUAAAUAA
rnacentral:rRNA from 1 species